rnacentral:rRNA from 1 species
UGGGGAAUAUUGCACAAUGGGCGCAAGCCUGAUGCAGCCAUGCCGCGCGUAUGAAGAAGGCCUUCGGGUUGUAAAGUAUUUUCAGCGGGGAGGAAGGGAGUAAAGUUAAUACCUUUGCUCAUUGACGUUACCCGCAGAAGAAGCACCGGCUAACUCCGUGCCAGCAGCCGCGGUAAUACGGAGGGUGCAAGCGUUAAUCGGAAUUACUGGGCGUAAAGCGCACGCAGGCGGUUUGUUAAGUCAGAUGUGAAAUCCCCGGGCUCAACCUGGGAACUACAUCUGAUACUGGCAAGCUUGAGUCUCGUAGAGGGGGGUAGGAUUCCAGGUGUGGCGGUGAAAUGCGUAGCGAUCUGGGGGAAUACCGGUGGCGAAGGCAGCCCCCUGGACGAAGACUGACGCUCAGGUGCGAAAGCGUGGGGAGCAAGCAGG